GAUGAACGCUAGCGGGAGGCUUAACACAUGCAAGUCGAGGGGCAGCAUAGGGUAGCAAUACUCUGAUGGCGACCGGCAAACGGGUGAGUAACGCGUAUGCAACCUACCCUGUACAGGGGGAUAACCCGGAGAAAUUCGGACUAAUAUCCCGUAAUAAUAUCCGGAGGCAUCUUUGGAUAUUUAAAGUUUCGACGGUACGGGAUGGGCAUGCGUAACAUUAGCUGGUUGGUAAGGUAACGGCUUACCAAGGCUAUGAUGUUUAGGGGUCCUGAGAGGGUGGUCCCCCACACUGGUACUGAGACACGGACCAGACUCCUACGGGAGGCAGCAGUGAGGAAUAUUGGUCAAUGGGCGCAAGCCUGAACCAGCCAUCCCGCGUGCAGGAAGACGGCCCUAUGGGUUGUAAACUGCUUUUCCAGGGAGAGAAACUUACGCACGUGUUGCGUGACUGACGGUACCCUGGGAAUAAGCAUCGGCUAACUCCGUGCCAGCAGCCGCGGUAAUCUGUAGUCGUC
rnacentral:rRNA from 1 species